rnacentral:rRNA from 1 species
CCUACGGGAGGCAGCAGUGAGGAAUAUUGGUCAAUGGACGAGAGUCUGAACCAGCCAAGUAGCGUGAAGGAUGACUGCCCUAUGGGUUGUAAACUUCUUUUAUAUGGGAAUAAAAUGUUCCACGUGUGGGAUUUUGUAUGUACCAUAUGAAUAAGGAUCGGCUAACUCCGUGCCAGCAGCCGCGGUAAUACGGAGGAUCCGAGCGUUAUCCGGAUUUAUUGGGUUUAAAGGGAGCGUAGGUGGAUUGUUAAGUCAGUUGUGAAAGUUUGCGGCUCAACCGUAAAAUUGCAGUUGAAACUGGCAGUCUUGAGUACAGUAGUGGUGGGCGGAAUUCGUGGUGUAGCGGUGAAAUGCUUAGAUAUCACGAAGAACUCCGAUUGCGAAGGCAGUUCACUGGACUGCAACUGACACUGAGGCUCGAAAGUGUGGGUAUCAAACAGGAUUAGAUACCCGAGUAGUC